CUGCCUGUGCGCGCGCCCGCUGUCGUGUUUACGGGGCUGCGGUUCUGCGCCUCGCGCGUUCACACGGUCUGAGCGUGUUAUGAUCGCUUCUUCUGCUUACACCGCUCCUCUGAGUGCGCCAUUAACGCGCGCCGGACGCGUCAGCGCGGUGGAAACGGCCGGUUAACGAUGUAUCGCUCUCUGUUCGACUUCAGCUCGGCGGAGCGGAACGCGCUGCGCUUCCCCGCGGGAGACUCUUUCCUCGUGCUCGAGCGCAGCAGCGCGCACUGGUGGCUCGCGACGCGCUGCAGCUCCGGCGAGACCGGAUACAUCCCCGCCGCGUACCUCGAGAAGAUACCGGCUCCAGAGCAGGACGAGGUGCUGCAGUCUGUUGAUCAAGCCAUUGAAGCCAUUCACAAUGUGGCCAUGACCAAUGGAGGCAAAUACAACCUGGAGCAGAGAGACAUCCUGCAGAAGUUGAUCCACCACAGGAAGGAGACUCUGUCCCGCAGAAGCCCGACUCCAUCCGGUCACAAGCAGAAGAUCCCAUCCUCCUCCAGCGAGGUGUCACUGAGCCGCGCGCCGCAGCCUCCCAACGGCCUGAGCCGAGCCUACAGCUGCCAGGGCAGCGAGCCGAUGUCCGAGCGUCCCGCUAGCGUUCCUGGACUCUAUCAGGUUCCUCCUCAGCCUCGCAGAGCGGCGCCCGUGACUCCGCCUCCUCCGGAGAAACACCGCGAGUUACGACGCAACGAUCCAGAGGUGUCACUGAGAGUUUCCUCCACAAGCCCCGCCCCCAGGCCUGUCCCUCCCACUGGGCCCUCUCUGUCUGUCAGCUCCGCCUCCUUAGACUCCAGCUCCUCCCACUCUGGCGUUUCCUCAGAUGUCAGUCUUCCCAGCAUCAGCAGCACUCCGCCCCCUGUUCCAAAACGAGGCAAGGCUCCGCCCCCUCCUCUCCCUGACCGAUCCCCUCAGGAAGAGCCUUCUAAAAAGAGUUCACAGGCUCCGCCCCCUCCCGUGCCUGACCAGUCCCCUUCUCCAGACCCUUCGAAGAAGAAGCCGGUGCCUCAGCCAAUCAGUCAACAGCCUGCUGCCGAACACCAAUCGGACGUGGAGUGGCCGCUGGGCCCGCCCCCUGCUUCUCUCAGCGCUCCUAGUAGCCCCACCCAGUCUGCAGCCGUUCCCGUGACCAUCGGAGCGGAAAUGAUUGAACUGGUGCGCAAGAACACGGGCCUUAGUUACGAGUUGUCGCGGGUUGCCGUGGGCGUGGUGGUGGGUCACCUGCAGAGUGCGUUGCCGAGAGCAACGGCGGACCUGGAGCAGGUGCUGCUGUCGCUGGUGGAGAGUAAGGAUCUGGGCGCGGCGCUGCCGCUUGGCCAGGUGUGUCACGACGAGCAGCGGCUGCAGGUGAUCUUUAGCGAUCUGGCGCGACACCGUGAUGACUCGCAGCAGCGCAGCUGGGCUCUGUACGAAGAUCACGCACUCAUCGCAUGUUACCUGGAGGAGUUACUGCAGAUACUGACUGACGCGGCUCCUGAGGUGUGUAAGAAGAUGUGUCGCGUGAACGAGUGUGAGGCGGUUCUGUCGCUGGUGUCGUAUUAUCAGAUGGAGCACCGCGUGUCGCUGCGGCUGCUGCUGCUGAAGGUGUUCGGGGCGAUGUGUGGUCUGGACGCGGCGCUGAUCUCCACCCUCCUGAACUCCGUCCUGACCAUGGAGCUGGCGAGGGACCUGCAGACGGACACUCAGGAGCAUGAGAAGAUGUGCUACAGCGCGCUGCUGAUGGCCAUGAUCUUCUGCAGGGGCGAGCAGAUCCCGCUGCAUCACUACGAGCAUCUGAACGCUGCUUUCCUGCAGUUCCUGCUGGACGUGAUUGAGGACGGCUUGCCCUCUGACUCCACAGAGCAGCUGCCGGACCUCUUCAUCAACCUGCUGCUGGCCUUCAACCUGCACCUCAGCGUACCGGAGAGUAACAUGGUGAUGCAGGCGCUGAUCAAGAGACACAAUGUGAAGAUUCUCACUGAGAAACUCUUAUUACUGCUCAACAGAGGAGAGGAUCCGGUGUGUGUGUUCGAUCACGCUCCUCCUGCGCUGCACUCAGUGCUCAAGUUCCUGCAGGAUGUGUUCUCCAGUCGAGACACGGCUGAUAUCUUCUACCGCAGCGACCUGAUGGUGAUGAUCGACAUCGCAGUGAGACAGAUCUCAGACCUGUCGCCCGGUGACAGAAUGCGGAUGGAGUAUCUGUCUCUCAUGCUGGCCCUCAUGCGCUCCACUGACUAUCUGGAGCACCGGCACCGGCUGAGCGACCUGCAGGCGGCGCUGCAGAGGAUCCUGGGAGAAGAGGAGGACUGUGGGGAGGAUCUGGGCUCCAGCAGACAGAUGGACAAACUCAUUGUGCAGCAGAUCCGCCAGGAGUUCCCUCAGGUCUAUAGAGACUGAGUGUGUAGAGUGUGUUAGUCUUAACACUCGCCAGAUCCCACACGUUCUCUCUGUUUCCCAGCUGAUUCACUGACCUGUAACCCUUGACCUCUGAGUAGCCCCGCCAUCCUUCAGCAGUGAGGGGAAUAUGAUCUGUUCAGUAUUAAUGCAGGUCUGUGUUUGUGCUAAUCACGUCUGAUGCAGCUUUGUGCGAAAUUAUCUAUUUUUCCUCUUAUGUUGUUGUUCAGAAGGGAAACGGUAACCAUAUAUUUUCUUAAUGUUGAAAGACUAAUAAAAUGCUGCCAUCCUAAUGCACCUAAAA